rnacentral:misc_RNA from 1 species
UAACCGUAGGUGAACCUGCGGAGGGAUCAUUACAGGACUCGCAAGACUCCUACAACCCUGUGAACUUAACUAUAAGCACGUUGCUUCGGCGGGUGUCUCGGAGGGGGUUCUCCCUCCCCGAGACGCUAAACCCGCCGGCAGCCUACUAUACUCUGUCUCUUUGCGUUGGCAUCUCGAGUACAAUCAAACAAGUUAAAACUUUCAACAACGGAUCUCUUGGUUCUG